AGUAGGGCCAUGGGAAGAUAAUGAAUGUCUUGUGGGAGGAAGGACCAGUAGGAGAUAUGGACUGAGGCAAGCAUGGUGCGGUUCGGGCUCCUCUGUGACUGUGAGGUGCAUGCUGGGGAGAUAGCAAAGAUUAAGUGCUGUCAGCAAGAGACUUUGUGGGCUCAGGCUUCAUGGCACAUUUAACAUCACCACAGCAGAUGUGACUUCGAGCGGCAAUGGUUCAGAUGACGAAGACUCUUCAGAGGAGAUGACAUACUCAACGGUGUUUCCAGGAUGGGAAAUAAGUGUAGCCAAGAAUGAGUAUGCUCCAAGUACUAGUAAGGAACUUCCUCUCUCUUUGGGUACAUUGCUGUGGUUGUGGUUUUAAGUUUGCUUGCUCAUCAUUCCAUUUUCUAUGCAGUCUUCCCUUCCUUCACCAUAGGAGCAUUUGUUAAAGGAGUAGCUGCUGUUCUAGUCAGCUCUUGCUUCAGGUAACUCUCCCAUACCAAAGAAAAAGUUUAUUUAGACCUUGUGAGGUCCUCAUCCCUAGAAGGGCCUUCUUCCAGUGCUGCUAAAAUCUAUAUCUCAUUUCCGUAAGCACUGGCCCUGAGUGACACUGUGAUAUAUUUGUCUUGUAUGGCACAGCGAAGGAAAAAGGAGCAAAGUCCUGUAAUUUCUCUAAGUGGAUGUCUGUUUCCACCCUUAAAUGUCUGUCACAAUCAAUGGUUUAGUACUAUUUGAAAUGCCAUAUUCUGAGAAAAUGCUGUGCAGUGGUAAUGUAAUAGAGGUGAAGUUGUGUUUCCCAGAUUUGUUGAUGCCAAACUCAGAGGUGUCUGGCUUCAGAGGGCUAUCAGUAGAAGAGAAUGCAAAAAUAACGGGUGUGCUUGUUUCUGGGUACUCUUUCCAGGCUGUUGCGGAUACUUUUUUCUCUCUGUGUCAUUUUUCUUUCAAGUCCUGGUGGAUGUUCUCCAUUCUGGAGGUUAUCGGAGGCAAACUGCUUUUUCUCAUACUGGCACAGUUUGUAAGGAACUCAUUAACACGCUAAAUGGCAAGGAAAGACUCAGAGGGUUUUGUGAUGCUUCCUCCCAAGCAACCAUGUUCUUUCUUGGGAUUGCCAGCAGUCUGUCUUUCAGCUCUCUAUGAGUUUCAGGAAUGUACUGAUUCCCCAAGUUCAUACA
rnacentral:lncRNA from 1 species